UACGUAGGGUGCAAGCGUUAAUCGGAAUUACUGGGCGUAAAGCGUGCGCAGGCGGUGAUGUAAGACAGAUGUGAAAUCCCCGGGCUCAACCUGGGAACUGCAUUUGUGACUGCAUCGCUGGAGUGCGGCAGAGGGGGGAUGGAAUUCCGCGUGUAGCAGUGAAAUGCGUAGAUAUGCGGAGGAACACCGAUGGCGAAGGCAAUCCCCUGGGCCUGCACUGACGCUCAUGCACGAAAGCGUGGGGGAGCAAAACAGG
rnacentral:rRNA from 1 species